rnacentral:rRNA from 1 species
UACGAAGGGGGCUAGCGUUGCUCGGAAUCACUGGGCGUAAAGAGCGUGUAGGCGGCUAGAUAGGUCCGUUGUGAAAACUCGAGGCUCAACCUCGAGACGUCGAUGGAAACCAUCUGGCUAGAGUCCGGAAGAGGAGAGUGGAAUUCCUGGUGUAGCGGUGAAAUGCGCAGAUAUCAGGAAGAACACCCGUGGCGAAGGCGGCUCUCUGGUACGUGACUGACGCUGAGACGCGAAAGCGUGGGGAGCGAACAGG